GUGCAGAGCGCGGAGGAGCCGCGAGCGCUGAGGGUUGAAGUUUCUGCAGACCUAAAAAGCAGUUUGAAAACUGGCAGUUCCCAGCCUCUAAAACCCGGGGGUAGCAGGAGGCAGAGAGUACCCCGGGGCCAGAUCCUGGAGCCUCAUUGUCCCUUCAAAUCACCUUCCGUUUCUCUAAGGGAGAAAUAAACCUUGAAAAGCCAUGGGCUUUUCAGAUGUAUCUAGAUGUAUCUGAUGCUUUUCAGGUGUAUCUAGACUCCCAUCCAGCGUGCUUUCUGCAAAACUUACUGAACCAUAGCCCAGAAUGGCCAUCCAUGAUGCCCACCCGCCUUGUCUCCUGAAGCACAUUGCCAGGUGGACCUGCACAUGGUGUGGACGGCAGACAGACUGGGGCUCUCAACAACUGGUAUUUGCUGGAUGACCAUGAACUAACCAUUCAAUUUCUCGAAACUUUGGUUUCUCGUCUGUAAAAUGAACAUAUGCAAAUCUAUCCUACAAAGUGUGUUUUGUGGAUUGAAUGAGAUGAUACACGCCCACCCAGUGCCUUGAUCAACCUUAAAAUGCUGCACAAGUGUGAGGGGAGAUGGAUCCUUGAAGAAGACAGACAAGCAGAGGGGAAAGAUCUUGGAAGAGUUUCACAAUAUGCUGAACUUUAUUCCUGGAUCAGAUACAGAGCUGUCCGGGUGUCCACAGGGCCGGGUCAGCCUCCUCAGACCCCAACACACAUACCCUCUUCCCCUCUGAGGAAAAUUCAGCAAAACUUCUUUUGCUGUUGUUGUUCUUUAUUCCUUUUUUUUUUUUUUUUUUUUUUGACGAAGUCUCACUCUGUUGCUCAGGCUGGAGUGUAGUGGCACGAUCUUGGCUCACUGCAACCUCCAUCUCCUGGGUUCAAGCGAUUCUCCUGCCUCAGCCUCCCGAGUAGCUGGGAUUAUAGGCGCCCGCCGCUACACCCAGCUAAUUUUUGUAUUUUUAGUAGAGAUGGGGUUUCACUAUGUUCGCCAGGCUGGUGUCAAACUCCCAACCUCAGAUGAUCCACCCGCCUCGGCCUCCUGUGGGAUUAUAGGCGUGAGCCAUCUUGCCCGGACUCCUUUUUUUUUUUUUUUUUUUUUUUAAUAGACAUGAGGUCUCAAACUCCUGGCCUCAAGUGAUCAGUCUGCCUCUGCCUCCCAAAGUGUUGAGAUUAUGGGCGUGAGCCACCACACCCAGCCAUAACUUCUUAGCAUGACUUUUCCCAUUUGUUAUGAGUUCAAUUGUGCCUCCCCACAAAAGAUAUGCUGAAGGCCUAACCCUCGGCGCCUCCUAACGUGACCUUAUUUGGAAAUAGGGCUGUUGCAGAUAUAACUGGUGAAGAUGAGGUCAUACUGGAGUAGGAUGGGCCUUGAAUCCAAUAGGACCGGUGUCCUUAUAAGAGAGGAGAUGGACACAUGAAGACAGAGACAUACGGGGAUCAGACAAUCAUGGACGGAGGAGGAAGAGAGUGCGGCGAUGCAUCUAGGAGCCACAGGACACCUAGAAUGGCCAGCAGCCGGUGGGAACCAGGAGAGGCAAGGACGGAUCCUCUCCUCCAGCCUUCAGAGGGAGCCCGGCCCUGACCACACCUCGAUCUCAGACUCUGACCUCCAGAACUGCGAGAGAAGAAAUCUCAGUUGUUUUAAUGUACGCAGCUUGUGGCACUUUGUGACAGCAGAUACAGCAGUACUGUGACAACACUAGGAAACGAAUACACCAUCCCAGCAUCUCUGCUCUGUUUUCCAUACAGAAUUGAACUAAGGACCAGGCAAGCUAAUGCAAGUCCAAACACUGUAAAAACUUUGGAGGCAAUCUAAGGAUGUGAGCCAGAUUUGUUUGCCAGAUCUUUUUUAUUUUAUUUAUUUAUUUAUUUUAUUUUAUUUUUUUUUUUUAGUGAGAGGGAGUCUCACUCUGUUGCCUAGGCUGGAGUGCAGUGAUAUGAUCUCGGCUCACAGCAACCUCCACCUCCCAGGUUUAAGUGAUUCUCCUGCCUCAGCUUCCUGAGUAGCUGGGAUUAUAGGCACCUGCCCCCAUGCCCAGCUAGUUUUUGUAUUUUUAGUACAGACAGGAUUUCACCAUGUUGGCCAGGCUGGUCUUGAACUCCUGACCUCAGGUGAUCCACCUGCCUUGGCCUCCCAAAAUGCUAGGAUUACAGGCAUGAGCCACCAACACCCAGCCCAUAUAUUCAUAUUUUUAAUGGACUUAUACAUGAAAAUGGUAUCUCACUUUUAAAAAUAAAUGAUAUGGAAUUAUGCGUUAAAGGGAAAUUAAAUCUUAU
rnacentral:lncRNA from 10 species